rnacentral:antisense_RNA from 1 species
GAACAAAUUUGGUGACUGUUUCCCGUGAAGAUCCAGUUACCGCGGUUCAAAAUGUUUUAUCGACAUUGUGAACCUUCGAAAAAACCACCUUGCCGGGUGGUUUUUUCGU